GACGAACGCUGGCGGCGUGCCUAAUACAUGCAAGUAGAACGCUGAAGGAGGAGCUUGCUUCUCCGGAUGAGUUGCGAACGGGUGAGUAACGCGUAGGUAACCUGCCUGGUAGCGGGGGAUAACUAUUGGAAACGAUAGCUAAUACCGCAUAGCAGUAGAUAUCGCAUGAUAUCUGCUUGAAAGGUGCAAUUGCAUCACUACCAGAUGGACCUGCGUUGUAUUAGCUAGUUGGUGAGGUAACGGCUCACCAAGGCGACGAUACAUAGCCGACCUGAGAGGGUGAUCGGCCACACUGGGACUGAGACACGGCCCAGACUCCUACGGGAGGCAGCAGUAGGGAAUCUUCGGCAAUGGACGGAAGUCUGACCGAGCAACGCCGCGUGAGUGAAGAAGGUUUUCGGAUCGUAAAGCUCUGUUGUAAGAGAAGAACGAGUGUGAGAGUGGAAAGUUCACACUGUGACGGUAUCUUACCAGAAAGGGACGGCUAACUACGUG
rnacentral:rRNA from 1 species